GAUGAAGAACGCAGCGAAAUGCGAUAAGUAAUGUGAAUUGCAGAAUUCAGUGAAUCAUCGAAUCUUUGAACGCACAUUGCGCCCUCUGGUAUUCCGGGGGGCAUGCCUGUUCGAGCGUCAUUAUAACCCCUCAAGCUCAGCUUGGUGUUGGGGCCUGCUGCACUGGCAGCCCUUAAAAUCAGUGGCGGCGCCAUCUGGCUCUAAGCGUAGUAAUUCUUCUCGCUAUGGAGUCCUGGUGGAUGCUUGCCAUCAACCCCCAAUUUUUCUAUGGUUGACCUCGGAUCAGGUAGGGAUACCCGCUGAACUUAAGCAUAUCAAUAAGCGGAGGA
rnacentral:misc_RNA from 1 species